rnacentral:rRNA from 1 species
UUCCUCUUAGAAAAGGAGGUAAGGCCUGCUCACUGAGUAUUUAAAGAGCCGCAGUAUCCUAACUGUGCUAAGGUAGCAUAAUCAUUAGUCUUUUAAUUGGAGACUGGUAUGAAUGGCUUAACGAGAAAUUGACUUUUUUUGUUAUAAAAAUUGAAUUUAAUUUUUUAGUGAAAAAGCUAAAAUUUUUCAGAAAGACGAGAAGACCCUAUAGAGUUUUAUGCUCUAAAAUACUUUUUCUAAAUUGGUUUUUACAGAUUAAGUAUAAAGGCGCAUUUUGUUGGGGCGACAUUAAGAUACAAAAAACUCUUUAUUUUUUUUUAUUUCUAUAGAAAAUUGGUUUGAUCCUCUAAAAGAGAUCAAAAGAAAAAAUUACCUUAGGGAUAACAGCGUAAUCUUUUUUGAGAGUUCUAAUCGACAAAAAGGUUUGCGACCUCGAUGUUGGACUAAAAUUUAGGCAGGGUGCAGCAGUUCUGCUUUAAGGUCUGUUCGACCUAUAAUAUUUUACGUGAUCUGAGUUCAGACCG